GGCAGCGAUGCAAGUCGGGAUAUCGUCAUAAUUUUUCUUCAUCCUCAUCUUCCUCAUGGAUGACAUGGUUUUCUACACCGUGCGUCGCAGGUUCGAAUCCUGCCGGGGCCA
rnacentral:tRNA from 1 species